GCCCGGGUGGCGGAAUUGGUAGACGCUACGGACUUAAAAUCCGUUGUCCGAAAGGACGUGCCGGUUCGAGUCCGGCCCCGGGCACCA
rnacentral:tRNA from 2 species